UACAGAGGGUGCGAGCGUUGUUCGGAAUUAUUGGGCGUAAAGGGCGCGUAGGCGGCGCCACAAGUCACUUGUGAAAACUCUGGGCUCAACUCAGAGCCUGCAAGCGAAACUGUGGUGCUGGAGUAUGGGAGAGGUGCGUGGAAUUCCCGGUGUAGCGGUGAAAUGCGUAGAUAUCUGGAGGAAUACCGGUGGCGAAGGCGGCAUCCUGGACCGGCAUUGACGCUGAGGAGCGAAAGCCAGGGGAGCAAACGGG
rnacentral:rRNA from 1 species